AACGAACGCUGGCGGCAGGCCUAACACAUGCAAGUCGAACGAAGUCUUCGGACUUAGUGGCGCACGGGUGAGUAACACGUGGGAAUAUACCUUACGCUAGGGGAUAACAUCGGGAAACUGAUGCUAAUACCGCAUAGGCCCUUAGGGGGAAAGAUUUAUCGGCGAAAGAUUAGCCCGCGUCCGAUUAGCUAGUUGGUGAGGUAAUGGCUCACCAAGGCUCCGAUCGGUGGCUGGUCUGAGAGGAUGACCCGCCACACUGGGACUGAGACACGGCCCAGCCUCCUACGCGAGGCAGCAGUGUGUAAUAUUGGACAAUGGGCGCAAGCCUGAUCCAGCCAUGCCGCGUGAGUGAUGAAGGCCUUAGUGUUGUAAUGCUCUUUCACCCACGACGAUGAUGACGGUAGUGGGAGAAGAAGCCCCGGCUAACUUCGUG
rnacentral:rRNA from 1 species